rnacentral:rRNA from 1 species
CAGUGGGGAAUUUUGGACAAUGGGCGCAAGCCUGAUCCAGCAAUGCCGCGUGCAGGAAGAAGGCCUUCGGGUUGUAAACUGCUUUUGUCAGGGAAGAAAUCUUCUGGGCUAAUACCCCGGGAGGAUGACGGUACCUGAAGAAUAAGCACCGGCUAACUACGUGCCAGCAGCCGCGGUAAUACGUAGGGUGCGAGCGUUAAUCGGAAUUACUGGGCGUAAAGCGUGCGCAGGCGGCUUUGCAAGACAGAUGUGAAAUCCCCGGGCUCAACCUGGGAACUGCAUUUGUGACUGCAAGGCUAGAGUACGGCAGAGGGGGAUGGAAUUCCGCGUGUAGCAGUGAAAUGCGUAGAUAUGCGGAGGAACACCAAUGGCGAAGGCAAUCCCCUGGGCCUGUACUGACGCUCAUGCACGAAAGCGUGGGGAGCAAACAGGAUUAGAUACCCUGGUAGUCCACGCCCUAAACGAUGUCAACUGGUUGUUGGACGGCUUGCUGUUCAGUAACGAAGCUAACGCGUGAAGUUGACCGCCUGGGGAGUACGGCCGCAAGGUUG